rnacentral:rRNA from 1 species
AACGAACGCUGGCGGCAGGCCUAACACAUGCAAGUCGAGCGAGGACUUCGGUCCUAGCGGCGGACGGGUGAGUAACGCGUGGGAACGUGCCCUUUGCUUCGGAAUAGCCCUGGGAAACUGGGAGUAAUACCGGAUGAGCCCUUUGGGGGAAAGAUUUACCGGCGAAGGAUCGGCCCGCGUUGGAUUAGGUAGUUGGUGGGGUAAUGGCCUACCAAGCCGACGAUCCAUAGCUGGUUUGAGAGGAUGAUCAGCCACACUGGGACUGAGACACGGCCCAGACUCCUACGGGAGGCAGCAGUGGGGAAUCUUAGACAAUGGGGGAAACCCUGAUCUAGCCAUGCCGCGUGAGCGAUGAAGGCCUUAGGGUUGUAAAGCUCUUUCAGCUGGGAAGAUAAUGACGGUACCAGCAGAAGAAGCCCCGGCUAACUCCGUG